AGUUUUGAAGGCUGAGAAAUCCAAGGUCAAAGGGCCACGUCUGGUGAGAGCCUUCUUGCUGGUAGGGACUCUUCAGAGGCUGGAAGCGGUAUGGGACAUCACAUGGUGAGUAGAUGCAGAAGCAGAUUCAGAGUAAAAAACUGAAAAGCCCAAUGUCAAACUUUACUAUGGACUAGUUUGCUGUGAGUUGCUGUCUUCAAGCAAAUAAAAUGGAUGUUACGAAGUAUCCACAUAAUUGGAACUCUCAUACAUUGUUGGUGAAAAUGUAAAACAGUACAAGCACUUUGAAAAAUGAUUUGUCAGUUUCUUGUAAAGUUAAGCAUAUACCUAUACAACCCAGCUAUUCUACUUCUAUAUAUUUACCUAAGAGAAAUGGAAACACAUAUCCACAAGAUGACUUGUAUGCAAAUGUUCAUGGCAGCUUUAAUUAUAAGAAGAGAAAACCUGGAAACAAUGCAAAUGUCCAUCAAUAGGUAAACAGAUAAACUGUAGCAUACCUACAAAAUGGAGUACAACUUAGCAAUGAAAAGGAAUGAACUACUGAUACAUACAACAAUGUGAUGAAACUCAGAUACAUUAUGGGGAGUGAAAUAAGCUAGACAGAAUAAGAAUUAUACAGUAUAAUUACAUAUAUAUAAAAUUCUAGAAAGCAAACUAAUAUAGAAAUGCAAAUUGAUCUAUAGUGAUAGAAAGCAGAUCAAUGAGUGCCUGGAACUGGGGAUGGAAGGAGAAAUGGACUGCAAAGGGGUACCGUAAGGAAUCUUUGGGUGGGGAGGUGGAAAUAUUCUAUAUCUUCAUUAUUGCGGUGGCUUCCCAUAUAUAUAUAUGUGUGUGUGUGUGUGUGUGUGUGUGUGUGUGUGUGUGUGUGUGUGUGUGUGCAUGUAAUAAAAUGUAUGGAAAUAUACGCUUUAAAUGAAUGCAGUUUUUUGUAUAUAAAUAAUAAAUAAAACUUUUUU
rnacentral:lncRNA from 10 species